rnacentral:rRNA from 1 species
GACGAACGCUGGCGGCGGGCUUAACACAUGCAAGUCGAACGGAAAGGCCCUGCUUUUGUGGGGUGCUCGAGUGGCGAACGGGAGAGUAACACGUGAGUACCCUGCCAUGGGCAUAGGGAUAACUUCAGGAAACUGGGACUACUACCGGAUAGGAGAUCCUGCUGCAUGGUGAGGGUUGGAAAGUUUCGGCGGGUGGGGAUGGGCUCGCGGCUGUUCUUCUUGGUGGUAGGGUCGUGGCUAACCAAGGCUUUGACGGGUAGCCGGCCUGAGAGGGGGACCGGCCACAGUGGGACUGUGCUACGGCCCGGACUCCUGCGGGAUGCAGCAGUGGGGUAUAUUGCACGAUGGGCCGAAGCCUGAUGCAGGAACGCCGCGUGCGGGAUGAUGGCCUUCGGUUUGUAGAGCGCUUUCGCGUGUGACGAUGCGUGAGUGACGGUAAUGGGUAAAGAAGCACCGGCUAACUACGUG